rnacentral:rRNA from 1 species
GAGAGCUUGCUCUCUGAUUUUAGCGGCGGACGGGUGAGUAACACGUGGGCAACCUGCCCUACAGAUGGGGAUAACUCCGGGAAACCGGGGCUAAUACCGAAUAAUCAGUUUGUCCGCAUGGACAAACUCUGAAAGACGGUUUCGGCUGUCACUGUAGGAUGGGCCCGCGGCGCAUUAGCUAGUUGGUGGGGUAAUGGCCUACCAAGGCAACGAUGCGUAGCCGACCUGAGAGGGUGAUCGGCCACACUGGGACUGAGACACGGCCCAGACUCCUACGGGAGGCAGCAGUAGGGAAUCUUCCACAAUGGACGAAAGUCUGAUGGAGCAAUGCCGCGUGAGCGAAGAAGGUUUUCGGAUCGUAAAGCUCUGUUGUAAGGGAAGAACACGUACGGGAGUAACUGCCCGUGCCAUGACGGUACCUUAUUAGAAAGCCACGGCUAACUACGUGCCAGCAGCCGCGGUAAUACGUAGGUGGCAAGCGUUGUCCGGAAUUAUUGGGCGUAAAGCGCGCGCAGGCGGUUCUUUAAGUCUGAUGUGAAAGCCCACGGCUCAACCGUGGAGGGUCAUUGGAAACUGGAGAACUUGAGUACAGAAGAGGAAAGCGGAAUUCCACGUGUAGCGGUGAAAUGCGUAGAGAUGUGGAGGAACACCAGUGGCGAAGGCGGC